rnacentral:sRNA from 1 species
AGAGCCGACCAUCUCCCACUCGAGCUGCCCCCGCCCUCUGGACCCGAGUGACUCAGGCCUUUGUUUGUCCUUCCUGGUAGAGGCGGGUUCCCUCCCUCGGCAAGAUGCCGGAGUGCUGGGAUGGGGUGGGGGAAGGCAACGCUGGAGCCGUGAAGCUGGCAGGGCUAGGGGACCCCAGGUGGAGCCCAGGGCACCUCCUCUCGCCGGGGCAUCAGGAACAUGACAUCGAGACACCCUACGGCCUUCUGCAUGUAGUGAUCCGGGGCUCCCCCAAGGGGAACCGCCCAGCCAUCCUCACCUACCAUGAUGUGGGCCUCAACCGUAAGUGCAGCCCAGCCUCAGUCAGCCCUCCUCUGCCUCCAAUCAGCCAGAGCGGUGAGGCCCCCCACCCUCCCCACAGGGCCCUGUCAACCCCACUCACACUUACCUCUGUUGCCUUCGCCCUCCGGGCCUCCAUUUCCCCGAUGGACCCAAGGCUGACACUUCUGCCUUGCCUGCCCUCUGGGGGCCCGGCCUUCCUUCCAGUCCCCCGGCCCCUCUGCUCAGCCAUAGUGGAAGUGUGUCUUUGCAGACAAACUAUGCUUCAACACCUUCUUCAACUUCGAGGACAUGCAGGAGAUCACCAAGCACUUUGUGGUGUGUCACGUGGAUGCCCCUGGACAACAGGUGGGGGCGUCGCAGUUUCCUCAGGGGUACCAGUUCCCCUCCAUGGAGCAGCUGGCUGCCAUGCUCCCCAGCGUGGUGCAGCAUUUCGGGUUCAAGUAUGUGAUUGGCAUCGGAGUGGGCGCCGGAGCCUAUGUGCUGGCCAAGUUUGCACUCAUCUUCCCCGACCUGGUGGAGGGGCUGGUGCUGGUGAACAUCGACC